GAGAGUGCGACCGAGAUGUUCCACUCGCUGGCGUCCGGGCCGCUGGUGAUCUCCGGUAGCACUCGGGCCGGCGGACAGUGAGGGCGCGACAACAAGGGAGGUGUCACAGUUUUCCAUUUAGAUCAACAACUUCAAGUUCUUACCAUGGAAAAUUCCGAGAAGACUGAAGUGGUUCUCCUUGCUUGUGGUUCAUUCAAUCCCAUCACCAACAUGCACCUCAGGUUGUUUGAGCUGGCCAAGGACUACAUGAAUGGAACAGGAAGGUACACAGUUGUCAAAGGCAUCAUCUCUCCUGUUGGUGAUGCCUACAAGAAGAAAGGACUCAUUCCUGCCUAUCACCGGGUCAUCAUGGCAGAACUUGCUACCAAGAAUUCUAAAUGGGUGGAAGUUGAUACAUGGGAAAGUCUUCAGAAGGAGUGGAAAGAGACUCUGAAGGUGCUAAGACACCAUCAAGAGAAAUUGGAGGCUAGUGACUGUGAUCACCAGCAGAACUCACCUACUCUAGAAAGGCCUGGAAGGAAGAGGAAGUGGACUGAAACACAAGAUUCUAGUCAAAAGAAAUCCCUAGAGCCAAAAACAAAAGCUGUGCCAAAGGUCAAGCUGCUGUGUGGGGCAGAUUUAUUGGAGUCCUUUGCUGUUCCCAAUUUGUGGAAGAGUGAAGACAUCACCCAAAUCGUGGCCAACUAUGGGCUCAUAUGUGUUACUCGGGCUGGAAAUGAUGCUCAGAAGUUUAUCUAUGAAUCGGAUGUGCUGUGGAAACACCGGAGCAACAUUCACGUGGUGAAUGAAUGGAUCGCUAAUGACAUCUCAUCCACAAAAAUCCGGAGAGCCCUCAGAAGGGGCCAGAGCAUUCGCUACUUGGUACCAGAUCUUGUCCAAGAAUACAUUGAAAAGCAUAAUUUAUACAGCUCUGAGAGUGAAGACAGGAAUGCUGGGGUCAUCCUGGCCCCUUUGCAGAGAAACACUGCAGAAGCUAAGACAUAGGGAUUCUACAGCAUGAUAUUUCAGACUUCCCAUUUGGGGAUCUGAAACAAUCUGGGAGUUAAUAACUGGGGAAAGAAGUUGUGAUCUGUUGCCUAAACUAAAGCUUAAAAGUUUAGUAAAAAUCGUCUGGGCACAGUGGCUCACGCCUGUAAUCCCAGCACUUUGGGAGGCUGAGGCAGGUGGAUCACGGGGUCAAGAGAUCGAGACCAUCCUGGCCAAUAUGGUGAAACCCCAUCUCUACUAAAAAUACAAAAUUAGCUGUGUGUGGUGGCACGUGCCUGUAGUCCCAGCUACUUGGGAGGCUGAGGCAGGAGAAUCGCUUGACCCCAGGUGGUGGAGGUUGCAGUGAGCCAAGAUUGCGCCAUUGCACUCCAGCCUGGCGACAGAGCAAGACUCUGUCUCAAAAAAAAAAAAAAAAUUUAGUAAAAAUCAAUGGUAAGCUAAAAUAAGUUUUUGUUUGUUUAUUUGUUUUUGAGAUGGAGUCUCUACUAAAAAUACAAAAAAUUAGCCGGGCAUGGUGCUGCAUAACUGUAAUCCCAGCUACUUGGGAGGCUGAGGCAGGAGAAUCACUUGAACCCGGGAGACACAGGUUCCAGUGAGCCAAGGUUGUGCCACUGCACUCCAGCCUGGGCAAAAAGGCAAAACUCCAUCUCAAAAAGGAAAAAAAAAAGACUGGGUGUGGUGGCUCACACCUGUAAUCCCAGCACUUUGGGAGGCCUAAGUGGGUGGAUCACAUGAGGUCAAGAGUUCAAGACCAGCCUGGCCAAUAUGGGGAAACCCCAUCUCUACUAAGAAUACAAAAAAUUAGCCGAGCAUGGUGGUGGGCUCCUGUAGUCCCAGCUACUUGGGAGGCUGAGGCAGGAGAAUCGCUUGAACCUGGGAGGCAGAGGUUGCAGUAAGCCAAGAUCGUGCCAUUGCACUCCAGCCUGGGUGACAGAGCGAGACUCCAUCCAAAAAAAAAAAAAAAAAGCCUGACAGCUAGCAGGUUUCAGGAUCCAUCUGCCAAGUUAGUGAAAGGCUGGAGCCUCAAAUCACAGAGAUGAGGGUCAUUUUCUCCUCCUUAGCUUCUUGGAGUUUAAGAGUUGAAGGAGUCCUGAAAAGUAAUGAUAGAGCAAGAUGAAGCUAUCAGAACUGAAUUUGGACUUCCUCUGGGAAACUACACCUAGUUCAUCUGAAGUGUCACGUAAACUGCAGAAAGGUUCCAAUGCUGGAAACUUCUCUCAUACUGUCAUGCCUUCCUACUCAGAAGUGCCUGUGCCCUGCUCAGCUGUGACUACUGACCUCAGGACCUCACUGGACAAGGCAUGUGGGGACCCUUGCAGGAGCCCUGGCCUAUGAUCUAAACAUUUCACCACGGCAUCCACUCAGCUGUGAGGCUGCAUACACAGUCUCCACCUCUGAAAUCUGAACUUCGUUUACCAGUGGUGCUGUUUGAACUUCAUAAUGUCAGCACUUCCUGAACACUUACUGUGUGCUUGGCUUGUGCUCCUGAGUGCCUUAUAUCAUAAGGAAACGGCAAAAUCAGGGGACUGGUAUAAAUGGUGAGCUGGGCUUGAAUCUAAGCUUUGUCUUCAGAGCCAGUACCCCAAUCUCUCUUUCUGUAAAAUAUUAUUUUUCAAAGAAUGAAGUUGUAGCCAAAUCUUGAAAUUUUUCAUUUACCCUAAGUGAGGACAAAUAAAGCUUUCAACAACAGUUUGUGGUAGUCUGAUGGAGAUGAGUCCAACGUAUUCAGUCCUCACAGAAGGACUAGGCUGAACUUGCCCAGUGUUAGCAAUUCCUUGGAACUAGAACAGUGGAAUCCGAGGGAGAAGGUGAUAUGGGCCAUAAUUAACUUUUGUGUGUGUGUGUGUGUGUGUGUAUGUAUAUGUGUGUUUGCUUCUGAGACAGUUUUGCUGUGUCGCCCAGGCUGGAGUGCAGUGGCACAGUCUCAGCUCACUGCAACCUCUGCCUCCUGGGUUCAAGCAAUUCUCCUGCUUCAGCCUCCCAAGGGGCUGGGAUUACAGGCGUGUGUUACCACGCCUGGCUAAUUUUUGUAUUUUCAGUAGAGACAGGGUUUCACCGUGAUGGCCAAGCUGGUCUCAAACUCCUGGCCUCAAAUGAUCCACCCACCUCGGCCUCCCAAAGUGCUGGAAUUACAGGUGUGAGCCAUCACGCUCUGCCCAGAUAGGGUUUUUGACCUGUCAUAGUGGUGCCUGGUCCCAUUAUUCUCUGUUUUGACUCUGCAGGGAUGAUCGCUGUCCCCUUGCUAUCCUUUAAUAAAACUGUCACCUCGGUUUCAGAACUGGAAUUCAGAUCCAUUUCUCCCUCAUGUGUCUUACCAAGUCUAAAUGACUUGCCAUGGACAGUGUUUCCCAAAUCAAGUUAAGCUGCCCAAUAAAUUUUUCCAAAACAAUGGAUAACCUGACAAUUACAUUGUAAAACAUUAGGGAAAAUAGCAAACACACAAAAUUAGUGGUAAUAGUGUAAUGAGCCCCUACGUACCCAUCAACUUCAAGCGUAACAUUUUGCCAAUCUUCAUCUACACCUGUUUUGUUUUGCUGGAGUCUUUUAAAGCAAAUCCCAAAUGUGUAAUUUUACCCAUAAAUACUUCAGUGUGAGGAAUGCUAGAGUCCAAUUUGUACAUUAAUACAAGUAUAUCAGCUAGUGCCGGCGUGGUGGCUCAGCCAGGCUUGGUGGCUCACAUCUGUAAUCCCAGCACUUUGGAAGGCCAAGGUGGAAGGAUUGCUUGAGCCCAGGAGUUCAAGAACAGCCUGCGUAACAUAGCAAGAUCCUAUCUUUAGAAAAACAAACAAACAAAAAACAUGUACUGGCUGGGCACAGUGGCUCACGCCUGUAAUCUUAGAAAUUUGGGAAUCAGAGGCAGCAGAUUGUUUGAGCCCAGGAAUUCUAGACUAGCCUGGGCAACAUGGCAAAACCCUGUCUCUACCAAAAAUACAAAAAUUAGCUGAGUGUGGUGGUGUGUGCCUGUAGGCCCAGCUACUCAGGAGGCUGAGGUGAGAGGAUGGUUUGAGCACAGGAGGCGGAGGUUACAGUGAGCUGAGAUUGCGCCAUUGCACUCCAGCCCGGGUGACAGAGCCAGACCCUGUCUCAAAAAACAAAACACGGCUGGGCAUGGUGGCUCACACCUGUAAUCCCAGCACUUUGGGAGGCCAAGGUGGGUGGAUCACCUGAGGUCAGGAGUUCAAGACCAGCCUGGCCAACAUGGUGAAACCCCGUCUCUACUAAAAAUACAAAAAAUUAUACGGGUGUGGUGGCAGGCACCUGUAAUUCCAGCUACUUCGGAGGCUGAGGCAGGAGAAUUGCUUGAACCCAGGAGGCAGAGGUUGCAGUGAGCCCCAAUCAUGACACUGCAUUCCAGCCUGGGCAACAAGAGCAAAAACUCCCUCUCAACAAACAAAAACAAAACAAGUGUACU